UAGCAGUCUUGCAACUAAGCCCGAAAAAUCACAUCAAAAUGAUGUUGGGCUUAUCAUCUGCACCACUUAAAAAAACACCAUAAUUUCAAAUUAAACUGUCAUUCCAACUAAAAUUUGUUAGAUGACAGGAAGCACAUGUUAUUUUAUCCUGAUCCACAAGUGGUAAUUGUUGCAUAAAUGGAUUAAUAGUAAAUACACAGCACUGCCUCCCCCUUUUUUGAGAGGUUUUAUAUAAAAAUGACCCUCCUUUUUAUAACAUACUAUAUAAAAAUGCAUUUACGUUUGAUAACUAUAUAUUGAUUUGGGGUAUGUAUGAUCUUCAUUUCAUAUAUGAAUAUGCUAUUCAGAAUCUUAAAUUAUAAAUAGUCAAUGUUAGUAAACUAAAUUAAACUAAUAUAUGAAUUAAUAUGAAAGUUCACCUUCAAAAUAAGUUCCAAAUGCCUCCCCCCUUUUUUCAUGGGAAAAAUUUGGUUGAUUAUUUAGGGAAUCACUGAUGACUAGAGCGGCCCCCUAUUAGGUCAGUCAGCCCCCCCCCCCCCCCCUUUUACAAAAAGUUCUGGAUCUGCUCCUGACUAUAGGUGCUGAACGUUAUGUUACAUGUAUAUUAAAAUUGGUACAUUUUUUUAGGCCAGAAUGGCACACCCCUACCAUAAAAAUAUUGAGGUAUCAUUUAGUAUCAAUGGGAUCUAUCCUACAGAUGAGAAAAGACCUAAUUGUUCUUCUUAUAUUCUUUUCUUUUUUUUUUUCUUCUUAACAUCUUUUGACAAUCUAUCAAUACAUGCAAUAAGAGGGUGUGGUUGAGCUCUCAUAGUAUUUUAGUAACAACAAAUUAAUGUAUAUGUAAUGAACUUAAUUAAGCUGUUGAAAUUUACCGAAAUUUACCAUAUUAAAGAUUCAAAGCUUAAAUAUAACAUAUAAAACUAUGAAAAAUAAUACAUUAUUCAAAACUCGUUCUUCUUUUU
rnacentral:lncRNA from 1 species